rnacentral:tRNA from 1 species
GCGGGUAUAGUUUAGUGGUAAAACGCCAUCCUUCCAAGUUGGAUACGACAGUUCGAUUCUGUCUACCCGCACCA